AAUAUGUCAAAAUGGAGGAAACUCUGAUGCAGCGACGCCGCGUGAGUGAAGAAGGUCUUCGGAUUGUACCGCACUCUAAGCUGGGAGGAAGGGCAGUAAGUUAAUACCUUGCUGUUUUGACGUUACCAACAUAAUAAGCACCGGCUAACUUCGUGCCAGCAGCCCCGGUAAUACGAAGGGUGCAAGCGUUAAUCGGAAUUACUGGGCGUAAAGCGCGCGUAGGUGGUUCGUUAAGUUGGAAGUGAAAGCCCCGGGCUUAACCUGGGAAUUGCUUUCAAAACUGACGAGCUAGAGUACGGUAGAGGGUAGUGGAAUUUCCUGUGUAGCGGUGAAAUGCGUAGAUAUAGGAAGGAACAUCAGUGGCGAAGGCGACUACCUGGACUGAUACUGACACUGAGGUGCGAAAGCGUGGGGAGCAAACAGG
rnacentral:rRNA from 1 species